AGUCGAGCGGUAGAGAGAAGCUUGCUUCUCUUGAGAGCGGCGGACGGGUGAGUAAUGCCUAGGAAUCUGCCUGGUAGUGGGGGAUAACGUUCGGAAACGAACGCUAAUACCGCAUACGUCCUACGGGAGAAAGCAGGGGACCUUCGGGCCUUGCGCUAUCAGAUGAGCCUAGGUCGGAUUAGCUAGUUGGUGAGGUAAUGGCUCACCAAGGCGACGAUCCGUAACUGGUCUGAGAGGAUGAUCAGUCACACUGGAACUGAGACACGGUCCAGACUCCUACGGGAGGCAGCAGUGGGGAAUAUUGGACAAUGGGCGAAAGCCUGAUCCAGCCAUGCCGCGUGUGUGAAGAAGGUCUUCGGAUUGUAAAGCACUUUAAGUUGGGAGGAAGGGCAGUUACCUAAUACGUAAUUGUUUUGACGUUACCGACAGAAUAAGCACCGGCUAACUCUGUGCCAGCAGCCGCGGUAAUACAGAGGGUGCAAGCGUUAAUCGGAAUUACUGGGCGUAAAGCGCGCGUAGGUGGUUUGUUAAGUUGAAUGUGAAAUCCCCGGGCUCAACCUGGGAACUGCAUCCAAAACUGGCAAGCUAGAGUAUGGUAGAGGGUGGUGGAAUUUCCUGUGUAGCGGUGAAAUGCGUAGAUAUAGGAAGGAACACCAGUGGCGAAGGCGACCACCUGGACUGAUACU
rnacentral:rRNA from 1 species